rnacentral:rRNA from 1 species
CACGUGGGAAUAUGCCUUUCAGUAAGGAACAACGCUUGGAAACGAGUGCUAAUACCUUAUACGCCCCAAGGGGGAAAGAUUUAUCGCUGAAAGAUUGGCCCGCGCUAGAUUAGCUAGUUGGUGAGGUAAUGGCUCACCAAGGCGACGAUCUAUAGCUGGUUUGAGAGGAUGAUCAGCCACACUGGGACUGAGACACGGCCCAGACUCCUACGGGAGGCAGCAGUGGGGAAUAUUGGACAAUGGGGGCAACCCUGAUCCAGCGAUGCCGCGUGAGUGAUGAAGGCCUUAGGGUUGUAAAAA